CCUACGGGAGGCAGCAGUGAGGAAUAUUGGUCAAUGGACGAGAGUCUGAACCAGCCAAGUAGCGUGAAGGAUGACUGCCCUAUGGGUUGUAAACUUCUUUUAUAUGGGAAUAAAACGUUCCACGUGUGGGAUUUUGUAUGUACCAUAUGAAUAAGGAUCGGCUAACUCCGUGCCAGCAGCCGCGGUAAUACGGAGGAUCCGAGAGUUAUCCGGAUUUAUUGGGUUUAAAGGGAGCGUAGGUGGAUUGUUAAGUCAGUUGUGAAAGUUUGCGGCUCAACCGUAAAAUUGCAGUUGAAACUGGCAGUCUUGAGUACAGUAGAGGUGGGCGGAAGUCGUGGUGUAGCGGUGAAAUGCUUAGAUAUCACGAAGAACUCCGAUUGCGAAGGCAGUUCACUGGACUGCAACUGACACUGAGGCUCGAAAGUGUGGGUAUCAAACAGGAUUAGAUACCCCUGUAGUC
rnacentral:rRNA from 1 species